rnacentral:rRNA from 1 species
AACGUAGGUUCCGAGCGUUAUCCGGAUUUACUGGGCGUAAAGCGCGUUCAGGCGGUUUGGCAAGUCGGGCAUGAAAUCUCUCGGCUCAACCGGGAGAGGUUGUCCGAUACUGCUGGACUUGAGGGCAGUAGAGGGUGGUGGAAUUCCGGGUGUAGUGGUGAAAUGCGUAGAUAUCCGGAGGAACACCAGUGGCGAAAGCGGCCACCUGGACUACACCUGACGCUGACACGCGAAAGCUAGGGGAGCGAACGGG